AUAUACAAAGAUAAAAACACAUUUCUGGUUGGUAGUCCAGACGCAGUUAUACUGUCAGUAACCUGCCUCCUUGGUUGUCCAUUCUUUGUUCAUUAGAA
rnacentral:ncRNA from 1 species